rnacentral:rRNA from 1 species
AGCCUACGGGGGGCAGCAGUGGGGAAUAUUGCACAAUGGGGGGAACCCUGAUGCAGCGACGCCGCGUGGGUGAAGGAGUAUUUCGGUAUGUAAAGCCCUAUCAGCAGGGAAGAACAAUGACGGUACCUGACUAAGAAGCACCGGCUAAAUACGUGCCAGCAGCCGCGGUAAUACGUAUGGGGGCAAGCGUUAUCCGGAAUUACUGGGUGUAAAGGGAGCGUAGACGGUGAUGCAAGUCUGGAGUGAAAGGCGGGUGCCCAACCCCCGGACUGCUCUGG